UACGUAGGGUGCAAGCGUUGUCCGGAAUUACUGGGCGUAAAGCGUGCGUAGGCGGUUGGCUAAGUCAGAUGUGAAAGCCCUGGGCUCAACCUGGGAAUGGCAUUUGAAACUGGCCGGCUAGAGUGUGAUAGAGGAUGGCGGAAUUCCCGGUGUAGCGGUGAAAUGCGUAGAGAUCGGGAGGAACAUCCGUGGCGAAGGCGGCCAUCUGGAUCAACACUGACGCUGAGGCACGAAAGCGUGGAGAGCAAACAGG
rnacentral:rRNA from 1 species